UUAAAUUGCUGUGGUAUUUUGACUAUAAAAGGGUUUUGGAAAUAAAUUUUUUAAUUGAAUGCUAAAGAGAAUGGACUCUCAGAGAAAAACUUUUUUUAAAUUAAAAAUUGAAAUUUUUUUAAUUUGUGCAGAAACAAUUAUUAAUAUUAAGGACAAGAAGACCCUAUGAAUUUAUUAAAUUUCAUUCAAUAUGUAAUUACUAUUGAAGAAAUUUUGGCUGGGGCGGCUAAAAAAUAUUUUAAACUUUUUAAAAAUAAAAUGAUCCAUUAUUAAUGAUUAUAUGUUAAAUACUCUAGGGAUAACAGCGUUAUAUUUUUUGAUAGACCAUAUUGACAAAAAAGUUUGCGACCUCGAUGUUGGAUUAGGAUACUUUUUUAAUGCAGAUAUUAAAAAAAGAAGUUUGUUCAACUUUCAAUUUCCUACAUGAUCUGAGUUCAGACCGG
rnacentral:rRNA from 1 species